UCCUGCCGACCCCCCCGACCCCAUCUGAGCCCCAUAAAGGACGUUGUGGGUCCGCCUCCCCAGGGACCCCCGUAACCCCUCAGAGCCUGUGACCACCUCAGACUUCACCCAAUUGACCCCCCCCCCCCCCCCCCCAGAUCCUACUAACCGUUCCCAAGGGACCCUCCUGAUCCCUCUUCCAGACCAUUGCUGCCUGGAAGAAGGGAGUGGACUCCAAAGUGUGAGCCCAGAGUGUCUGCAGAAGACUGAGGGAUUUUUCUUCAUGAAAGCAAUACUUUAGAAGGAUGACGGAUCCCGGCCCCGGACUGACCUGGUUCUUUGAAGUGGUGUACGUGGAUGGCGAAAUCUUCGUGCACUACAACCUGGUUAUGCUGAGAGACGGAAA